AAGACUGAAGGGAUGGGGAAAGUAGACAUCCAUGUACAAGACCUUUUGUGGAUCUCUUAGAGAAUGGCUUUCAGAUUGAAUGAACUUCAAAUUGAAGUCCAAAUGCAAAAUCUCACUACCAUAAAAGUGUCUGAAAUGGUUUAAGAAUUCAAAGUUACUAACUUAAAAGUCAAGAGGAAAGAAAAAGCCUCAUGGUCAAUUACUUACUUUACUUUUAAAUAAAGCAUACAUAUUUUCUCAUAUAGAGAACUUGUGACAACUACAUGGUCAAAACAGGGCAUAUAAUUUACUAAACACAUGAUUAAAAACUGAUAUAAAUGUGUGCAUAACACAAAGUUGAUAAUAAAUAUUUGUUGGAUAAAUAAAAAUAUGAGGGGAAUAUUUCAAACAUUGAAAAAAUCAUAACGAGAUAAUAUUAUUUGUUUGUAGAUUUUUAAAAUAAUCACAAUAGCUUUUCUCCUUAAAUACUUAACUUACAUUAAUCAGGCAUGUGCCUAAAGACCAACUGAAAAAAAUCAACUACGAUAAUGCUCUUAAUUUACUUAUAUGACAUAAUACCAGACAAUUUCAUUUUAAGUAACUUUACUAGGCUCUUGAUUAAAUUAAAUAAUUAAUCUAUCCAAUGAAAAUCUUCAUCAUUAUACUUAUAAAUACAAUUCUACACACUUGGUAAUAAUUUUACUUAAUUAUCUCUAAAUACAGGUGCAAAUCUAAGAAAGUACCAAACAUGUACCUUAAGCCCUGGCAGCCUUUUUUCUUACAGGUAGCUUGUUAUAUUAAUGCUAUAGAAUAACUCUGAAAAAUAUGUAAGAAAUCUAUAACACAGCAAACAGGUAACAUCAUCCAAAGAUGAGCAUGAUAUUAUUAAAAUAAAACAGUACUAUGCUUUCUGCUACUAGUUCUACUACAACUAAUAGAGGAAAUUGUACCACUAAUAAUAAAUUUAUUUAAAAUUUAAUACUCGCUAUAUGGAAGGCACAAUUUCUGUCACUUUAAGUUCAUUAAUGAAUCACACUCUUAUAAAAACCCUAUAAGUUAGAUAUAAAUGUUAUCAUAUUUUAAAAAGGUGAAUGAAAGUUUUAACAGCCUAAAUAACUGUCCCAGGAUGCCCAGCUCACAAGUCUCAGAAGCACAAUUCAAACUCCAAAUCUUUCACUAUACCCUGUCACUCUCAAUCCAUAUCCCCUGUUACUAAAAUUAAUAUACUAUCUCCAAGACAAAAUAGUAUUAGAACAAUGACACUACGCUAUUUGACUAGUAAAUGUAAUGUGUGAAGAAUCUAAUUUUUAAAAAACAAUUUGUCACAAUAAGCAGUCAUUUUAUUUCAAAAUUAGUUUUAAUAUAACUUCAUGUAGUUAUGAAAAAUGCAUUGGGGACUUACUAGGUGUUUUUUAUGUAGACUUCUAUUUAAUUUACCAACAUUGGAGUUAGGUUUGAUUAUUGUUAUUUUAUAGAUGACAAAACGGGAGCUCAGCUCAAUUAAGAAAGAGCCCAGGUCACUCUGUGAGCAUUAAUGUCAUAAACAAAACUUGGGUGUUUGAGUCCCAAACACACACAAAUCAUCAUAUAUAUGUAUAUAGACACGUAUGUCUGGGUGGGUGAGUAUACAUGUAUAUACAUAUACCAGAAGUGGCUAGUGAUAGGCAUUAGGAGCAAUUAGGAGCA
rnacentral:lncRNA from 1 species